GAGCCCCUCACGACAUCACGGCAGGAGCGGGGGAACCACCACGGGCACCACACGGUGUCCUCGGGGUGAAGCCGGGUGACCGUCCUCGGACGGGAGCGCGGCCGGGUGAUCUCCCACCCGAACCCGACAGCUCACCUCGUAGGCGUCCGGAGAGGUUCG
rnacentral:sRNA from 2 species